CUUCACGUCUUCAACACAGAGUUUUUGGCGGGAAAAUUUGUAAUGUUUCAUGUUUGGAGAAGACAAGAUGGCUGCCGGUUACUUCGUGUCAUCAAAGGGCAUUUUUGUUCACAAAUACCCGUUUAUUUUACGUUACAACGACUGGUUAGUUUUGGAAAUUAUAACUCAAUGGACAGGGAAAACGAUUCUGUUGUAAAGAGAAAAAUUCGGGCAGUCAUUGACUUAAUAUUGCGAUGUUAAUAUUUGUUGUGAAAGACGGCCGGAAAUUUCGCUACAUCGCUGUACUGGUUUAUACAAAAUUCUACUGGCAAUUUGACAUGGAUAAAGAGACAGCGCUUCAAUGAAAGAACAGCCUAUCUUAAUGGUAAGUUUUUAAAGGGUUUUCACUUUUCGGUAUCUAUAUUUUUUAUAGUUUAAAGAUGCUGUAUAAAUUCUGUAUUUAAGGUUCGUAAUGUUCCUAUAAAUGUAUAAUUAAACAAACGUUUUGUUUACAUUUUGAACUGCCAUAUUUGUAAAAUACGAUAUACUAACUGACUUGUACUGUGAAUGAAUAUAAACUCUACGUUUCAAUUCGAAAAAGUUGGAAAGAUACAAAAUUUGGGCAAUGUUGUUUAUAAUAUAUGAUGAUGUUUAUAUCUGCGGGUUUCCCCUUUGUUAUGAGCAGAACUGAUGCGCAGAACGGACUUUAAACUCUCAAAGCUAUACUUUAAUUUAAUAGAUAUUAAUUUAAUUUAAUACAAUUUUGGAUAACGUUGUUUUAUACAUCUCGUUGCUACCCAAUUCACAAAUUUAGGUAAAUCCCAUAUAUAUAUAUACGACUUUGAAACACCAUCGUACAUUUGUUUUAAAAUAAUUUAAAGAACGUAAUUUUAUCAUGUUUGGUAUUUCAAAUAUUAUAUAUUUGAAACAUAAAUUCAAAUAUUAUAUAUUUGAAACAUAAGACAUAAAUUUACAUGGCAAGAAAAGAAAUAUAAUGUACUUUACAACAUCUUGAGAGAAAACAUCUUCUGGUCCUUCAGAGCUUUUACAUAUCAAAGGGCUAUUCCAUUUAAUAUCCGUACCCCCCCCCCCCCUGUCGAGGAUCCCUGGAAUUCUUCAGGGGUAAAGGGUUUUGAGCUUGGAAUUCUUCAGGGGUAAAGUGUUUUGAGCUUGGAAUUCUUCAGGGGUAAAGUGUUUUGUGUUUGGAAUUCUUCAGGGGUAAAUGGUUUUGAGCUUGGAAUUCUUCAGGGGUAAAGGGUUUUGAGCUUGGAAUUCUUCAGGGGUAAAGAGGUUUGAGAUUGAAAUUUUUCAGAGCUUGGAAUUCUUCACGGGUGAAGGGUUUUGAGCUUGGAAUUCUUCAGGGGUAAAAGGUUUUGAGCUUGAAAUUCUUCAGGGGUAAAGGGUUUUGAGCUUGGAAUUCUUUAGGGGUGAAGGGUUUUGAGCUUGGAAUUCUUCAGGGGUAAAAGGUUUUGAGCUUGGAAUUCUUCAGGGGUAAAGGGUUUUGAGCUUGGAAUUUUGGAAUUCUUCAAGGGUAAAAGGUUUUGAGCUUGGAAUUCUUCAGGGGUAAAGAGUUUUGAGCUUGGAAUUUUGGAAUUCUUCAGGGGUAAACAGUUUUGAGCUUGGAAUUCUUCAGGGGUAUGACAAUGAAAAACAUGUAUCCUCGACAGGGGGGGUACGGAUAUUAAAUGGAAUAGCCCAUUAAGAAACACACAGCAUUACUUUAAUAAACUUAUUAAGCUUCCUAGCGUCUCAUAUAAACACUAUUCUGAUAUUUAUAUGCCAAUAACAAAAUGUAGAAUAACAAUGGUGCAGCAUUACCAUACAAGGUCACGAUAAGCUGUUGCCUAUAAUACUUAUAAUAAUAACACAACAAUCCAUGAUUUACCGUAAUUAAACAAGUUAAAAUAUAUCACUACCAGUAUCUUACAACAAUUCAAAAGUAUGGCAAGUGUUCUUUGGAGAAUUAAAGUCAUAAUAAGCUUUAAGAGAUGAAAAACAACCUAUCAUUAAAAAUAUAAUAUAAAUAAAAUAUAAUAUAAAUAAAAGAUUAUAAUCUGAAAGUCAUUUGCUCCAGGGCUUUAAUUUUCAUUUUUAAAUUAGGUUACAUGUGCAUUAAAUCCUGGCCAUUCUACCCCAGCCUUUUUCAUAUGGUUUUAAACCCUGGCUAAUUAUAUAUCCCCUUUUAUAUCAGUGUUAAACCCUGGCGGGUAUUGAAAAGGCAAUGCUCUGUUAAAAUCUUGUAUUUCCUCCACAAACUCCUAUUAAAACUUGGCCAUUGAGCCACAAUGCACCCUACUUAUUUUUUACUUCUCUAACGCCAGAUGGUUUUACUCGUCAAUGGGGAAGCUCUGCAGUUAUAUGGGUUAACCAAAAAAUCCGACAAUGUCCCUAGUUAGCCCAUUGAGCCGGCGUCCCUGGGUGCCCCAUUACAAGUAAAUCGUCUGGCAUUAAUACAAGUAAAAAAUAAGUAUGGUAUUUUUUACUUGUAUUAAUGCCAGACGAUUUACUUGUAAUGGGGAAGCUCUGUAGCUUAACAGGUUAAUGAGUAAAAUCACCUGUCAUUAAGUCAUAUUGCAAUAAUAAAGUUAGGAGCAUUACAGCUAAUCUGUCAAUCUUACUCAUCUUAGGCAACAGCAAUUCAACAAAAUACCAAUAUAUACAAGCCAAUCAAGUCCAGCAUAAUUGUCAUUUUGGAU
rnacentral:lncRNA from 1 species